rnacentral:rRNA from 1 species
GUUGCCAGCAUUUGGUUGGGGACUCAUGAGAGACUGCCGGGGUCAACUCGGAGGAAGGUGGGGAUGACGUCAAGUCCUCAUGGCCCUUACGGGAUGGGCUACACACGUGCUACAAUGGCGGUGACAGAGGGACGCGAAACCGCGAGGUUGAGCAAAUCCCCAAAAGCCGUCUCAGUUCGGAUUGCACUCUGCAACUCGGGUGCAUGAAGGCGGAAUCGCUAGUAAUCGUGGAUCAGCACGCCACGGUGAAUACGUUCCCGGGCCUUGUACACACCGCCCGUCA